AGUGAACGCUGGCGGUAGACCUAACACAUGCAAGUCGAACGGCAGCACAGUAAGAGCUUGCUCUUACGGGUGGCGAGUGGCGGACGGGUGAGGAAUACAUCGGAAUCUACUUUUUCGUGGGGGAUAACGUAGGGACACUUACGCUAAUACCGCAUACGACCUACGGGUGAAAGCAGGGGAUCUUCGGACCUUGCGCGAUUGAAUGAGCCGAUGUCGGAUUAGCUAGUUGGCGGGGUAAAGGCCCACCAAGGCGACGAUCCGUAGCUGGUCUGAGAGGAUGAUCAGCCACACUGGAACUGAGACACGGUCCAGACUCCUACGGGAGGCAGCAGUGGGGAAUAUUGGACAAUGGGCGCAAGCCUGAUCCAGCCAUACCGCGUGGGUGAAGAAGGCCUUCGGGUUGUAAAGCCCUUUUGUUGGGAAAGAAAAGCAGCAGGUUAAUACCCCGCUGUUCUGACGUUACCCAAAGAAUAAGCACCGGCUAACUUCGUG
rnacentral:rRNA from 1 species